rnacentral:rRNA from 1 species
AUUGAACGCUGGCGGCAUGCCUUACACAUGCAAGUCGAACGGUAACAGGUCUUCGGAUGCUGACGAGUGGCGAACGGGUGAGUAAUACAUCGGAACGUGCCCGAGAGUGGGGGAUAACGAGGCGAAAGCUUUGCUAAUACCGCAUACGAUCUCAGGAUGAAAGCAGGGGACCGCAAGGCCUUGCGCUCACGGAGCGGCCGAUGGCAGAUUAGGUAGUUGGUGGGAUAAAAGCUUACCAAGCCGACGAUCUGUAGCUGGUCUGAGAGGACGACCAGCAACACUGGGACUGAGACACGGCCCAGACUCCUACGGGAGGCAGCAGUGGGGAAUUUUGGCCAAUGGGCGCAAGCCUGAUCCAGCCAUGCCGCGUGCAGGAUGAAGGCCUUCGGGUUGUGAACUGCUUUUGUACGGAACGAAAAGACUCUGGUUAAUACCUGGGGUCCAUGACGGUACCGUAAGAAUAAGCACCGGCUAACUACGUGCCAGCAGCCGCCGUAAAAC